GGGAAUAUUGCACAAUGGGGGAAACCCUGAUGCAGCGACGCCGCGUGAAGGAAGAAGUAUUUCGGUAUGUAAACUUCUAUCAGCAGGGAAGAAAAUGACGGUACCUGACUAAGAAGCCCCGGCUAACUACGUGCCAGCAGCCGCGGUAAUACGUAGGGGGCAAGCGUUAUCCGGAUUUACUGGGUGUAAAGGGUGCGUAGACGGGACAGCAAGUUAGUUGUGAAAGCCCUCGGCUUAACUGAGGAACUGCAACUAAAACUAUUGUUCUUGAGUGCAGGAGAGGAAAGCGGAAUUCCUAGUGUAGCGGUGAAAUGCGUAGAUAUUAGGAGGAACACCAGUGGCGAAGGCGGCUUUCUGGACUGUAACUGACGUUGAGGCACGAAAGUGUGGGGAGCAAACAGG
rnacentral:rRNA from 1 species